UACGUAGGUGGCAAGCGUUGUCCGGAUUUACUGGGCGUAAAGAGCGCGCAGGCGGUCGUAUAAGUCGAAUGUGAAAGCCCCCGGCUCAACUGGGGAGGGUCAUUCGAUACUGUUCGACUCGAAGGCAGGAGAGGGAAGUGGAAUUCCGGGUGUAGUGGUGAAAUGCGUAGAUAUCCGGAGGAACACCAGUGGCGAAGGCGACUUUCUGGCCUGUUCUUGACGCUGAGGUGCGAGAGCCAGGGUAGCGAACGGG
rnacentral:rRNA from 1 species